ACAUAACAAGCAUUCCUUGUAUUUCUUCUGUCUUCUACACGCUGAGCAUGGAGGAGAGAGACAGGCUGAUACACAGCAUCUGGUUAAAGUCAGAGAAUAGCUACUGUGACUUGGCAAAGGACUCAGAGAAGAUGGUUCCUCAGCUGCUCAAGGAGCUUAGCCUUCCAGCUGAAACAAUCAACAUAGAUCCCAAAGAUGCCAAACAUCUUGGCAAUGUGGAUGGUUCUGUCUACUAGCAACUAGACUUAUGGUUCUUCAAUUGUCAGUUAAAGAAGUCACAAGCCUCCCUAUCUCACCAGAUGGAUGUGAGGAUGGGAGGCUGCAUAACACUGCAGUUAAGGCUCUGGAGUCAUGCUGACUGUUUUCAAAUCUCUGUUCCACUACUUACUAGCUGUGUGGUUGGGCAAAUUACAAACACCUCUUUGUGCCCAGUUUCCUCAUCUAUAGGCAGAAUAAUACCAACUCAUAAAUGAGAAAGUUUGUGUUGAACAUCUGACACUUAAUACAAUGACUCUAUUUAGUAAUG